GUGGGUAAAGGGGAGGGGAGGAGGGGGAAGAGAGGGGCGGGCGAGAAGGAGGCAGUUAGGGGGGAUAGAGGAAGGAGGGAGAGAACAUGAUGAGCCUCGUGGAGGUGGGGACUGGGAAUGGGACUGGCGGGUAGGUCGGCAAAGAACAAAGAACGCGACAGGCCAGUUCUUAGACUCUAGGACAGGCGGCGGCGGCGAACAAAGAACUACCGGCGUAUCUACCGUCCUAGUUGAAGUAAAACUCGAACAGGGUGUUCCAACGUUAGUGGUCAUACAGUCGAUUCCGAAGUCUUGCAUGCAUAUCUACGAGUCUACUAAGUGUUUACCGCAUGAUGUUGUUGAGCCACGGAAAUCGUCUUUUACCUGCCAAGGUAUACCUUAUGUUAGUCAAUUUUAUUCUUCCUUAUCCCCUUAUAAGCUAGCAAGUGAGGUUUUUCUCCCAGGAUAACUUUUUCUUUAAUAGGUUUUAUCUUUCUUCAAAAAAAAAAAGUUAAGUUAACAAAUAAAUAGAGAAUAAGUUUUUAAAGGAACUUUUAGCUUAAAGUAAAAAAGUAAGUUACCCCAAUCUACUAGAUCAAGAAUUAUAAUAAUGAAAUGAGUUAACUGUUUAAGGUGUUGUUUAGAGAACUAAGCCUUAAUCCCUGAGUACAUAGUAGACUACUUUAGUAGACCUACAAGUGAUGUGUAGAAGUCCACUACCCAGUGUCUUUUAAUCAAGGUUAGGAGUUCAUAAACUUCGUGUCAUGACGUGUGAGCUUAGUAGUAGUCGUUUACCACAAAUAGGAUGUGUCUCAAGCUGUAGAAGAGUAUCGUAGAGGGGAUAUUCACCCUCGGGGGACAGAGUCUUACUAUCGGUGAGUAUGGUGUGUAUACUAAGUGGGGGUUGACGAAGUACACAAUGGCUCUAUGGCCUAAAGGUCUCAUUUGAUUUCCUCGAUCUUUUACGUUAAGAACCUGGACUUAACCUGUAUCGGAGACUGUCGGGGCUCUCGAAUAACGUUCGGUUGGUAGGAAACUUUGUUCUAUUGACCUCUGUCGAAAACCCUUAACUGUGCCCUCUGAACUUCGUCCACUAGUAUCGUACACCAUUCCGACAACGACGCUUACUAUACAUACGCUGUCUUGAUAACUAUAGACUCGAUCCAGUCGACCACAGACAGAGACCUCUAGGUUACGUUGCGGAUCCUCGUAUGUACAACCUUCCCGAACACCGGUCCGAGAGAAAGAGACCUUCAUUCGACAUAUUUAGGAACUUCACGUUUCUUGGAUGUCCGAGACUCGAGUACAGAAUGUACGUAGAGGAGACACUCUAGACGGGUAAGAUGUUCAAACCAAUGUACAGUCGGUUACCACGGUAUCGUCUUCGAUAGUUUCCGCUCUUGAAGUAAGUGUAGUAACUAAAGGUUUAGCGUGUCCCCUCGGUCACCUAUUGAUAGUAAGUCCGAGAACGUCGCUCCGGGCCCCCAGGUGGUAAGGAUUCUUAGUGACCAUAUCUACUGAGUUUGAGACGAAUACGGGCUCCACCACCUGACCUAUACCAACCCUGUUUUAACGUAUCACAGAGACGAAGCACACCGGACGGGAAACUCAAGUUACGACAAGCACGACGAUCGGUACUCCAAAUAUAAGUCGUAGACCUGUAUUCUGGACCCCUCCGAUAACAUCACUUAAAACGGAUAGUCGACGUGGUAUGAGGACUACUUUCGCACUCGCACCUUUUAGUGGCCCUGUCCUAACGUUCUUACUAGUUCUCGGACAGGGGAUCCCACCACUGAGAACAACUCGUCCUCAGCUUGUGUUUGUGUUCACGUAAGAACGGUUCCAUGAACCUCUGAGAGCUGAUGAUAUACCGUUACAAACUCAGUUAUCUGCAACGAGAGGGUUCCCUACUGUUCUCUGCCUAAUCGUGCCUCGUCGUGACACAGCGUUCCCUAUAGCAGUUAAAUUAGCGCACACUCCCACGACUUUCCCAACUCUCCGUACUCCACAAACCCUUUACCUUCCGAUCCAAACGUUACCGACCUAAGUCCGGCAUGGGCGACUCAAGCCACCACUUGUUGUGGUAGUUUUGUGACGACCUAUCGAUGGUGUCAACGAUGUCCGAACUCCUCUCCCUGCCUCAGGAAAUGGAACCAACCUUCUCGUCUCACAACCAGCACAGAAGACGUACCACGACUGUACAGGACUCCUCUUCGAGUACAGUAUACCUUGGACUCGAAUAUUCCCGAAGACGAACAGCCAAGUCAACAGACAGACGAGUGACCGGUAGAUUAAGUGACCUUGGACUCGAACUCACUAAAAGUGACCUUGGACUCGAACUCACUAAACACGAAAGAGGUCAAAGUCUACCUUGGACUCGAAUACAUUCCCGAAACGACGAACAGCCGUGGUCCUCAACGACACUAUUAUGGCGCUGUCGGCAUUACAUCUUCGUCCGCAUCAAUAAUUUAUUUAUUUAUUUAUACAAAUAUCGAUCCUUAAACCACACAACACCAAACGAGGGCAACAUCCUAACUGUACGAACAUUAUAUGACACGAUUAAUCUCCCACAAAUCUCUACUAAUUUUCGAUACGUCCGUGUUCGCCGCGGACAACGUACACAGGAUUGGCAGCAACUAAACACAUUACUAGUCCGGACCAUUACUACUGCACUACCAAAUAACAUUGGAGAACACGACGAACGACGGGACUUUAUUAUG
rnacentral:rRNA from 1 species